UACGGAGGGGGCUAGCGUUGUUCGGAAUUACUGGGCGUAAAGCGCGCGUAGGCGGACCUGCAAGUCGGGGGUGAAAGCCCGAGGCUCAACCUCGGAACUGCCUUCGAUACUGCGGGUCUCGAGUCCGGGAGAGGUGAGUGGAAUUCCUAGUGUAGAGGUGAAAUUCGUAGAUAUUAGGAAAGAACACCAGUGGCGAAGGCGGCUCACUGGCCCGGUACUGACGCUGAGGCGCGAAAAGCGUGGGGGAGCAAACAGGG
rnacentral:rRNA from 1 species